GACGAACGCUGGCGGCGUGCCUAAUACAUGCAAGUAGAACGCUGAAGAGAGGAGCUUACUCUUCUUGGAUGAGUUGCGAACGGGUGAGUAACGCGUAGGUAACCUGCCUUGUAGCGGGGGAUAACUAUUGGAAACGAUAGCUAAUACCGCAUAACAAUGGAUGACACAUGUCAUUUAUUUGAAAGGGGCAAUUGCUCCACUACAAGAUGGACCUGCGUUGUAUUAGCUAGUAGGUGAGGUAAUGGCUCACCUAGGCGACGAUACAUAGCCGACCUGAGAGGGUGAUCGGCCACACUGGGACUGAGACACGGCCCAGACUCCUACGGGAGGCAGCAGUAGGGAAUCUUCGGCAAUGGGGGCAACCCUGACCGAGCAACGCCGCGGGAGUGAAGAAGGGUUUCGGAUCGUAAAGCUCUGUUGUAAGUCAAGAACGGGUGUGAGAGUGGAAAGUUCACACUGUGACGGUAGCUUACCAGAAAGAGACGGCUAACUACGUG
rnacentral:rRNA from 1 species